GGCCAAAGCACUCUUGGCUUUGCUUCUCAUUCUUUUGAAUCCCAUAGGAGAGCAGCAUUGUCCAGAUAUUUGCCUCCAAGAAAGUCAUAAACACUACCUAAGAGCUUGGCUCUCUACCCUAUUCCAUUCCACUUGGAGAAUCUCACUCAACAAGCUGCAAAUGGACUCAUCUGCUCUGAGGGAAAUGGCUCCUUUGUGUUUUCGAGAGUUACAUAGUUAAACUUUUCAAAAGAAGUGUCAAAAUGGGUUAGUCACCCAGGGUGACUGGACAACUGUGCUGAUUUAUGCUCACCUGCUCCUAGUUAAUGACACAGCACAACACUUAG